rnacentral:lncRNA from 1 species
AACAAAUAAUAAAUUUAAAUUACAUUAGAGUAUGUAAUAUGUCAUAUUAAAUUAAAAAAAAACCCACAUGUUUAUUCAAUUAGAGAUAAAAUUAAUAUUUACAGAUGGUCCUGAUCUAUGUCUAAGCAUAGACUCAUCAACAAAGUGAAAAAUGUUUUUAAAAGGUACAUAAGUGAAUACUUAACAAAAGGCUCCCAAGAGCCCGAAUUGCUAACCUGGUAAGAAUGUGCCAUCUGAUAUUUGUUUUAUUUAAUGCAAUCAAGUAUGUUUGCUUUUUUGUAAAUAUCAUUUCGUGGAAUUGUUUUAGAUCUAGUAUUGCUGAUCAUUAAUAACUAUCUAUAAGAGUUUUUCAAAUAAUUAGCAAAACUUUAG